rnacentral:rRNA from 1 species
GACGAACCGAGCGAACGUUGUUCGGAAUCACUGGGCUUAAAGGGCGCGUAGGCGGGCUGCCGCGUCCGGGGUGAAAUGCCACGGCUCAACCGUGGAACGGCCUCGGAUACGGGCGGUCUCGAGGGGGGUAGGGGCAUGCGGAACCGUGGGUGGAGCGGUGAAAUGCGUUGAGAUCCACAGGAACUCCGGUGGCGAAGGCGGCGUGCUGGACCCCAUCUGACGCUGAGACGCGAAAGCGUGGGGAGCGAACAGG